UUGUAAACGAUCUACCAAACUCAGUUAAGAUAGAAGAAAAUAUAAUGUUAUAUCCACCCCUUUCCACCUGAGGACAGGCCAAAUUCAAAGUAUGGGGGAGUGACAUAUCCAUAAUCCCAUAUAACUCUUAUGCACAUGUCCACACACCUACACACACAUACACCCUUAGUACCCAAAUCAGCCGAUAUCUAAUUGCAAAUGUACCCAAGCCUUAGACUAAACAUCCAAAACGAAUCAGCCGAUAUCUAAUUGCAAAUGUACCCAAGCCUUAGACUAAACAUCCAGAACGAAUCAAAUUACGUUAUCAGUUCGUUCCAACACUUUCGGAUCCCAAUGGAAAAUUACCAUGCGAGCAAAACUCCAAGAUUCUAGACUAAACAAUUGGAUUGAGUGGCUGGUGCAUUAUCAAUCAACAAUCCAAAGGGCAAUUAGAAAACUCACUCAAUUAACGCCAACUCCACUCUUAGAAAGCUCUAAAGCUCAAAACCGAGAUAUUACAGGGCAUAAUGCAUUACAAAUUGAACAAAGCACCCAUGAGGGCUCAUGGAGGGAAAAGUUGGAUCUACAAACUUGCAAAUAGAAGGAACAGCGAUGUCAAUAUAGCUUGGAAAAAGAUACGAAUUCACCUGACCUAUAAAAAAAUGACUCCUCUGCACUUUUUAAGAUGUUUUAAAGGCUCUCUACAAUAGUUUUUAGAGCCCUGUUGUGACAAUUCAGAGUUUUCAUAGAUGAGCAAAAAUGCUCUGGGGUUUUUUCCACCAAUUAGAAAAUAAAACGAUAAAAGGUGAACUUGUCUAUUACUAUGUACAAUAAAUUCUAAUUCAGUUCUUUUCUUAUGUCAAUGCUCAAUGCUGACAUCACGCGACCAGCUGCUUAGAUAACUUCUUCAGCUCGUUAUAUAGAAAAUAAUGAACACGAGCCGUUGAUCUGUCUCUUUCGUGACUCUCUUUACAUAAAAUUCGGUAAAUUAUAACAGAGUGGUGGAUUUAUGAAAUAAUGAGAAUUGCAUUUGCAAAAAAAAUAGUUCUCUUAACUACAUCGAACGUCCGAACAAGCCCCUUAAUCUUGUGUCAGUCUUCUUGACUGGAAUAUAGCUCUUUAAUUUAAGAUUUACCCAGAUAUUGUUAGUAUCCCUAAGAAAAAGAUUCAAUAAAAGUACGGAAAUGUAAAAACGACGUCUAUAUCAUAUAG